GACGAACGCUGGCGGCGCACCUAAGACAUGCAAGUCGGACGAUCGCCUUCGCCUUCGGGCGGGGGCGGGAGUGGCGGACGGGUGAGUAACACGUACGGGACCUGCCCCCCGGUGGGGGAUAGCCUCGGGAAACCGGGGGUAAGCCCGCAUACGCUCCACGGCAUAGCCGCGGUGGAGGAAAUGCGCGAGCGGCCGGGGGAGGGGCGUGCGGCGGAUUAGGUAGUUGGGGCGGUAGCGGCGCACCAAGCCGACGAUCCGUAGCUGGUCUGAGAGGAUG
rnacentral:rRNA from 1 species